AUGGUGAUUCAGAAAAGGAAACAUGUCACUUAUCCUCACGCCAAACUGCACAACCACCCCAAAGAGUGGAAUCAAACAUGGUUUUACUGCAAAGAUACCUCUCCUUCUGAAGAAAAUCCCUUGUCGGGUUACCGUCCGGAGCGGCUGAGCAAUACACAUCCCUUUCCACAAAGGCUGACUGCUAAAGAAAGAAGUAAAUAUGCUCCCCAAUUAUCCAAGCUUAGGGCGUUCAUGGCUAAUGGGUUGACAGGGGUUGACCUUGCUUGCUGCUGGAUAUCUUGGAGCAUACUAUCCUUAAGCCAGCGCCCCGGUUUGAUGUGCGAGUAUACCAGAGAUGUAAAAGACCCUCAAUGGCACAUUGAUAUCUAG
rnacentral:rRNA from 1 species